rnacentral:sRNA from 1 species
CCAACUCUGCAACUAAUUCUCUAAUCUCUAAUUUAAUUCUUUAAUCUAGUCUUCUAAUCUACUAUCUCUAAUCAAUCUCUAAUCCUACCCUCUCGGGGCUCCAGCCCGCUAUGAAUAUUGACUAAGUAGUAACCUACAGCACUAAACUAGCUACUAUGAAUUAUCACAGCAAUGAAGUGGAUGAUACAACCUACUGCUAAGAAGGAGAUGUUGUUCAGGAGCGAGAGCCAAAUGAAAACCACCAAACCAAUGAUUCAAAAUCCAAAACAAUCGUCUCAACUAACUCCAAAACACAAAAAAAAAGUCAAUCAGACUCGAAAUGACAGAACAGGAGAUGUUCGUGCAUGUGUGCUGAGAAUACGUGCUACGAGUUGACAGCCAGACAUGAAUCAUCCGAUCGGGUGCAGAGUCGAGCAUUUCACUUUAGCGGAUACUUAUUUUGCAGGAACCAUCUACACAAACAAUUCCAGUCAGCAAAGCCCAAAAAGGGAGAAAAAGAAAACUCACUUGCUAACAUAAUAAUCCACAAAUCCAAGCGCACCUACUGCGCUAGACCACAGCCCCAGUAUAUUCCACGUUAACGCACCCCGAGAAUGCCAGCGAUAUGCACUAAAUCCCAACCCGGCGCCCGCAAUAGCCAUCAACAUCGCGUUUCCCAAAAGGACGGGAUUUGAACUGUUCCGGAGAAGGGACAACUUGGCGGACGCUGCUUUAUUCUUUACGGCUUUCGCUUUCCCCUUGGCGUCUCUUGCUGCGGCGCGUUUGGCUUCUCUUUCGGCUUGCUCGCGCCGCUGUUUCUCCUCGCCCUCGCGCUCGAUGCGCUCGGCUUGGGUGUUUGUUUUUAUACGCUGAGACUCGUAGGUGGGGGGAACAGAGGAGAUGUGCGGGGAGUCGACAUCGAUUAGAGAGGAUGUUGCAGGUUCAGCUUCGGUGACUUCAACUUCACGAGGUUGGGGUGCCGCACUGAUUUUAUGUGCGUGUGGGGUUAGUGUUGGAGAGCAUUUUUCAGUUGACGGGCCAAAUGCUAAUGGGGUUAUCUCGUGCAAGUGUGUGUUUAUGCUAACUUACGCCUGGAUUUUUGUUAGCAGGUAUAGAUACAACUGCUCUAAGAUGAACGACGUACCUCUUGAGGAGAUUGUUGGGCACCCCGGGAGACUGCUUUGGCGUAGGACAUUUUCGGCGUUGUUAUAUUGGAUGCUGGUUAGGGAGGUGCUGGAUAUCUUCCGGAUCAGCGUGGAAGCGAAUAUCUGGCAAUAAAUAUAGACUCAGGGAGAUUGGUAUGAAGAAGUAGAUAUGUACUGUAAGUUGUCUGUCGUUUGAACGAAACAAUGAAUUAGCUACUGAUAUAGCUAUGUGUGCUGAGUUGGAUGAGUGACGAAACCAGUUCUUUCCUUAUUGCAAGAUGGGAUAGUGAGCUGGAUACUAGUAUGUUUAUUGGAAAUGACAAUCAUAUGAGUCCCUGUCCAUGUGACCCUCUGACCAGCUCUGGACUUUUGGCAAUGGAAUUGGUAAAGUAUACGAAAGGAUGGAUGAGAAAUUGAAGUACUGAAGUUUUUAUCCCGGAGUAUUUGUAGCAGAGGCACGGUGCGGUUGCUUCUUUGAUUUCUUUCUCUAGCUACCAUUUCCCUCGUCCAUUGUUCCAUGGAAAGAAGAGCUUCAUGACGUCAUCGUCACGAGCUGUGGCUUUCAACUUCAGAAUCAAAAUCCACCCACUAGCCACAAUUUAAAGCCUAAGUCUGCUGCGUAUUUGACAGGCAGCGGGUGCUGUCUUGCAGAGCGCACCAAAAGCAUGGAAAUGAUACACUGUUUUCAAUUCGGUCACUGACUUUUCUUUAAAUAUAUACCUACCUAGUCAAAAUACGGAGGAAUAAAAUGGUAUCCAAUGCUAUUACUCUUGUAUAGUCAACAAAUAGAUGAGACUUAUUUUAAUUUGACUAGUGGAUAACUGAGGUACUUUGGAUAGAAGUUCACUACGUAGUUUAAUAGUCACAAAAGUAGUUAGAUAUGUAGGGAGGAGGCAAAGAGUAGAUGGAGAACAAAAGAAUUGGAAAUAAUGAAAGAACGCAAGGAAAAAGACGGUGUAAAUAUAGUCAAGAAUACAUUUUUAGUACAUGCUGGAAUUGAAGGUAUGGAGCUGUGUUUGGGUUGCUGUAAGAAAAGAGGGAGAGAAACAAGUUUGCUCUGCUGUGCUCACAUGAAACAGAUAAGUUAGGCCCCUGGGUCGUUUAACUUAGCCACUAGCCAAACUUCUAAAGAUUGAAAGAAACGGGAGGGAGUUGAGUGUUGGUUUGUCUAAAGAAGUAGCUCGAGAGGGUUCUCCACAACAUUCUUCAGCUCUCUCAUGAACUCGGCCCCCACCGCUCCAUCAACAACCUUAUGGUCGAAACUGGCAGUCACCACAAUCUGGUCAUCCCAUUUCACAGAGCUCGCGUUGCCCUCCUCCUCACCUUCCACGGGUACAGCUACCUUGCGCGUCGUACCCACAGCUAGUAUACCAGCUUGUGGCGGGUUGAUGACGGCGGUGAAACGCUCAACGGCAGAGUUCAUGCCCAUGUUGCUGAUCGUAAAGGUGCCACCGAUGUAUUCCUCGGGCUUCAACUUAUUCUCGCGAGCGCGCUUACCCAGAUCUUUGAUCUGGCUGGAGAUGCUGGACAGGCCGAGAGUUUCGACGUUCUUCACUAUGGGUGUAAUGAGGCCGACGGGAGUGGCUACCGCAACACUGAUGUCGACCGUCUUGUGCUGGCGGAUGCUCACUUGGCCGUUUUCCUCGAUCCACAUCGAGUUUACUGCAGGCACUUUUAAGAGGGCGGCUGCACAGGCUUUGACAAUGAAAUCGUUAACAGAGAGCUUGUAUUUACCAUCUGCGGAGGCAUUGAGGGCCUGGCGCAGCUUGAGGAGCUUAGUAACGGAAAGGUUUGAGGUUACGAAGUAGUGUGGAUUUUCUCGGACGGAUUGGACGAGGCGGUUUGCGAUGGUUUUGCGCAUGGACGUGGCAGGGAUAUCUUCAUAAGCUGGUAAAGUAGCACCCGUAGCUGCGGCGCAGGGCUGGUAUUUUUCGAUAUCUUGUUUUGUCACUCGCCCACCAGGACCGGAGCCCUUGACAUCGUUGAGCGGCACGCCUCGUUCCAACGCUAAAGCCUUGACUGCGGGAGCAAUGAACGGC